ACCUGGUUGAUCCUGCCAGUAGGCAUAUGCUUGUCUCAAAGAUUAAGCCAUGCAUGUCUAAGUACACGCCCUAGCAAGGCGAAACCGCGAAUGGCUCAUUAAAUCAGUUAUGGUUCCUUAGAUCGUACACAUUUACUUGGAUAACUGUGGUAAUUCUAGAGCUAAUACAUGCAAUUGAGCCCUCGUCCCUUUUAGGGUGAGGGUGCUUUUAUUAGACCAAGACCAAACGGGGGAAACUCCGAUAGUCGUGGUGACUCUGAAUAACUAUGGCAGAUUGCACAGUCCUAGCACUGGCGACGCAUCUUUCAAGUGUCUGCCUUAUCAACUUUCGAUGGUAGGUUAUGCGCCUACCAUGGUUGUUACGGGUAACGGGGAAUCAGGGUUCGAUUCUGGAGAGGGAGCCUGAGAAACGGCUACCACAUUCAAGGAAGGCAGCUGGCGCGCAAAUUACCCACUCCCGGCACGGGGAGGUAGUGACGAAAAAUAACAAUACGGGACUCUAACGAGGCUCCGUAAUUGGAAUGAGUACACUCUAAACCUUUUAACGAGGAUCUAUUGGAGGGCAAGUCUAGUGCCAGCAGCCGCGGUAACUCUAGCUCCAAUAGCGUAUAUUAAAGUUGUUGCGGUUAAAAAGCUCGUAGUUGGAUCUCAGUCGCGCUCCCUUCGAUGCGUUGCAAAGCGUCUAUCGUUGGGGCCGACAGCACGUUGGUGGGCCCGGUUGGCUUUUACCGGUUGCUCAAAGCAGGCUGGUGCCUGGAUAUUGGUUCAUGGAACUUCCUUUAAUUAAAUGCUAGCAAAUACAAACGGCGAUGGUUUACAACCCUAGCGGGAACUCAGAGUUUAUCACACUUAGAUUAUCAGGAAGCAAAUGAAAUCCGUCUUGAUUGAUAGGCCUAUUGAAAUUCCUCUGGGGAAAAGCAGAAGCCAGUGGCCCUUAAAAUGGUGUAAAAUAAUUGGAAAAAUAUGUUACACUUUCCCACUACUGAUGGUCAUGAGAUUCCUGGCAUCAGCGAUCGUUUCUGGACGGCUCGCUUCCAUAGCUAAGGCCAGGCUGUCUGCCAACACGUGUGUUCACACAGAACUGUCCUCCUUUUCUCUCUGUCGAACAUCUGUUUUAAUGGAGACGUCUCCACGUCCAUAACUUCAUCCAUGCUCUCUCCUCCUCUAAGUUCUUUUCUAUCUUCCAAAUAUAACUUUUCUUAACACAAAAUAAUGAACGUUCAAAAGUUUAUAUUUUUAUAAUGCAGAGAAUAUUAUCAGUGAUGGAUUACUGACACUCUCUGUAUAUACGAGGUGUAAUAACCGGACUCAUGUCUAUUUUUAUUCGUCACCAAUUACAACAGACACCUUAUCUCCUUGGCGAUCCCUACACCGCUCCAUACGACUUUUCCAUUUUUGGAAGCAGUGCUGAAGUCUGUAAGCUGGUUGAGAACCUCCGUCGCUUUUGCUUUAACCGCUUCCACACUUUCAAAUCUUGUCCUCUUCAGCACCGAUUUGAUCUUAUUAAAGAUUGAAGAAGUAAUUGGAAUAUGAUUAAAAAAACAAGGAAUAUAUUAAAAUCAUAGGUAUACACAAAAUACCCAACUCCGUUUAUAUGGAAAAACAAACAUUUGAAUAAUUUAAUCCUUUUUAUCUAAAUUGUGUGGAAUCCUUAUCCAGGGAAGAGUUUCUUUUGAUAUUUUAUUUACUUUCCCUAGCUUUCGGGAUUUGUAGUAGGACCAUUAGCCAGAAAGAUAGAAAUAUUAAAUAAAAUGUCAAAAGACACUCAUUCCCAGGAAGAAUCGUUUUCCUUUUAAUGGAAAAAGCUGCUUGAUAAUUUUACUACAGUACCAUUGAUUUAUUUGAAGCCCUUGUUUCAAUUCAGCGCAUUUCCUAAAUUUAUGCUGUAGGCUCCAUUGAAUAGUGAGCUACCUAGACCGAAUUCUGUACAGCUGUAUGCUGUAGGCAAUUAAAAACUAUAUAUUUGUAAAAUCGAAGUCUACUUUCUAUUCUCCCAUCCAUCCCGCUUCUUGCCAUAACUACGAUUGAGGCCGCCAACAAUGGCUUCCUCACUUUAACAACCGAAGCGAUCUAGCAAGAAACUCUUGGGAGCGAUCCAAGCUAUCUAGGAGCGAUCUUUUACCAACAGGAGAUCUUUUACCACCAGGUGAUCUUUUACCACCAGGCGAUCUUUUACCACCAGGAGAUCUUUUACCACCAGGCGAUCUUUCGCGACCAAGCGAUAUUUUGAGACCAAGCGAUCUUUCGCGACAAGGCGAUCUUUUACCAACAGGCGAUCUUUUCCCAACAGGCGAUCUUUUACCAACAGGCGAUAUUUUCCCAACAGGCGAUCUUUUACCAACAGGCGAUAUUUCCCACCAGGCGAUCUUUUCCCACCAGGCGAUCUUUUACCAACAGGCGAUAUUUUCCCACCAGGCGAUCUUUUACGACCAGGUGAUCUUUUCCCACCAGGCGAUCUUUUACGACCAGGUGAUCUUUUCACACCAGGCGAUCUUUCGCGACCAGGCGAUCUUUUACGACCAGGCGAUCUUUCGCGACCAGGCGAUCUUUUGAGACCAGAUCGUUCAAGGCGAUCUUUUGAGACCAAAGCGAUCAAACAGUACCACGGGCGGCUUUUGCGGCAAGAAUAAGA